AUUAAAUCUAUAAAUUCAAUUAAACUCAACUCUAUUGGUUGGUUCAGACAUUUUAACAUUAGAUCUUUUCACCUUAGAACUGCCUCUAUUUCUUCAUUUAUUUAAAUUAUCAUCUUUUAAAUGUUCUAACAAGGUUUUGAAGUCUUUUUUUUUUUUUGUCUUUUUGCUAUUUCUUGGGCCGCUCCGGCAGCAUAUGGAGGUUCCCAGGCUAGGGGUCCAAUCGGAGCUGUAGCCACCGGCCUACGCCAGAGCCACAGCAACGUGGGAUCCGAGCCGCAUCUGCAACCUACACCACAGCUCACGGCAAUGCCGGAUCCUUAACCCGCUGAGCAAGGGCAGGGAACCCCCCACCUCAUGGUUCCUAGUCGGAUUUGUUAACCACUGCGCCACGACAGGAACUACUUGAAGUCUUCUUUUUAAAAGUCACAUUAUAUAUUUUCUAACCAUUUUAAAUUUGGGAAUUUGUGAGUGUGAUUGUGUGUGCGUUUGUGUGUGUGUGUGUGUUUAUAAAUCAGAUCUCUUUUUUCAUUAUGUUAUCUACAGAUAAGGGUAGUAGGAUGUCCUGUCUUUGUCUUGAAAUCAAACUACCUAAUUUAAAUGAACUUAAAUGAAGUUAUAGAUCUGGGACUUGCUACCUACUUGUUGAUCCAGUCUCACCUGGUGUAUCAGUUACGUUGGGUUUGAUUGUAGGUAACAGAAAACCUAAGUGAAACUGCUAGUCAAGAGAGGCUUACAUCCCUGAGGUUAGUUCGGCAGCUCUACCAGGUAAUGAAGGGUUUGAUUUCCUUUUAGCUCUUCACUCUGCAGGGGCCACAUAGUCUUCGAGGCUGGUGGUCCUUGUGGUGUUCACAGGACCAACAGUAUUGAUUAUGCCUAUGUACAUCCUUACUUAAAUGUCCAUUAAAAAAAGACAGUGUUUCUUUUCUAGACCUUCCCCCAUCCCCACCCUCUUCUUUUUUUCCAUACCUUUUUCUUAUUGGCUUAGCUUAGGUCUUUGCUCACUACUGAACCAAUAACUGUGGCUGGGGGUAUGAAAUUACACUAUUUAGCUUGGACUUGAGUUGGAGGUGUUGGAAUUAUUCUCCCUAAGUAUGUGGGCUUCAAGUAGGAGGAAUGAGUACCCCACCCCCACCCCAGCCUCCACCACCAAGUUAGAGCAGUCACUGAGGGAUGAACAAUGCAUGUUGGGAAGGCAGACGUAAUAUCCACUAUACUGGACAUGUCACUUUUCCCAGGACACCUGCCCUGCUGCCGUAAGUCCAAGUCCUGUGUCCUUGUUAUGUGAUCUUGUAAUACAGAGGACCAUACCACAGUAGAUCUGCCCAUUUACUACUGGGACCAGAAAAAAGUAAUGUAUUUAUAAUCCCCUGGCUUUCUUAUAAGGAGGGGAUAUCUUAUUAAUGAGGGGACCUUUGCUUGACACUUGAGAUGUGAGAAAUAGUCUGCAUAGGAAGGAAGAGCCAUAGAGUGGCCUGCAUGGCAGACCCUGGGCCAUGGGUGGGAGAUGGGGGAGGGUAGAAUGGAGUCAGGUAAGCAGGUUAAGGAGUGAUGUGGGAAAAAUAAAGAUGUUUAUGGGGGACUUUUGGAGAGAAAUUCUGUGCAUUGUGAAGUGUAAACUUUUUCCCUUAUGUAUUUUUCAGUAAAAUAUCCUUUCUUCCUGGCCUAAGAGAGUGGAUCUAUUUUAGGAGGAUGCAGAGAAAGGCAGAGGUUUGCAUUCAAGGUGGCAGAGCAAGAGUGAGGGUGAACGUUGGAACAUCAUGACAUUGAGUUUCACCCAACUCACUCCUCCCUUCACUCCAAGUCCUGUGAGGACAGACCAGGUCUGCCUAGCUCAGUGCCUAGGACCCAGGAGCUUAGCUAGUAUUUGUGAAUGAAUGAAUGAUAAGCUUGGUAAAAUCUGAGAAACCUUUGCCAAAUCUCAAGUCUGCCACUUUCUCACCUGUGGAAUGGGGAAAAUGGUAAUCACCAUGUUGCCUUGUGGUGAGAUUUAAGUCUAAUUUCAUAAAUGGAAACCAAGACCACGAUUAUUAUCUCUUCCCAAAUUCUACCAGCUAGCCUACAAAUACUCACAAUAACAACUGCUAAAAUCUGUGGAACAUUUUCUCUGAGCAAGACCCUUUCGUAAGCACUUCACCUGCAUUACCUCCUUUAAUAUUAAUCCUUUUAAUCACCUGUAAUUAUCGAGGUGUCAGCUCUCCCUCCAGGAUGUCCUACAUGCUCAGCAUCCAAUGAUAUCUCUCAGCACUCAUGGGCACCAGAAUCGAAAUAGGCAGAGAAGGAAUCCUUUGCUGAACUGUUAGCAGCUACUCCACUCUUGAGAUGCACAGCUUGGCUGCCCUAACAAGGCUGGGCAAAAUAUAAGUGCGUGGCAAAUUACUUGUAAUAGAGACAUGAUGAAUUCACAGUUGUUGUAGCAACAGAGACCCCAUGACCUUAGAGGCAGGCAGAGGCUGAGCCUGUGGUCACCAGUGAUGGGAAAAGUCAAGGGUGGAUUUGUGAGCACCAGGAAUCAGUGGGCUUUAUUUUCUGGCAUGGUCUAUUCCUGGAACAGCUGAAAAUUCUGAGGACUAAAUUCAGACUCCUGGAUGAGACUCAAAGAUUGCCUGGUGAGAAGGAGAGAACCUCUGGGCAUAUUAACCUCUGGGGAUGUUAGUUUUCUCAUUUCUAGAAUAGGAAUAAUAACAUCUGAUUCCUUAUCUCUCGUAGGACUAUCUGAGUGUUUAAUGAAGCAAUGUUCAGAAUUCCUCUAUGGAAAAAUGCUACAGAGAUACAAAUUAUUUCGAUAACUAAAUGUAAAUGAGCAUAUGUACUCCAAAAAACUGAAAGGAAAAAAAUGCAGACUCAUUUAAGAUUAAUUUCUUGAAAUUCCCUGGUGGCUCAGUGAGUUAAUGAUCCAGUGUUGUCACUGCUGUGGCUCAGGUUGCUGCUAUGGUGUGGGCUCGAUCCCUAGUCCCAGAACUUCUGCAUAUUGUGGGUGUGGCCAGAGUAAAAGAGAGAAAAAAGAUUAAUUUCUCCAUGAGUUUCAGAUCUGUGUUGUGUACUGAAAUCUCCACAAUAAUACAUUUACAAUUCUACAUGUAUAUGUGAUAUAAAUAAAUGUACUCUUAUAAUCACAGAUGCUCUUAGAUUCAGAAUCAUGUGCUUCUUGCUAUUCUUAACUCCUUAGAUUUCUGUCUUGCCAAAAAUACCAAGUGAUCAAUUCGACGAUAUUAUAACACUGUGUCUGAAGUUGUCAUUUGAUUUACAAGUCAAAGGGAUUGCUCAAAGCUUAAAGCACGUGGUAAAGAAAUGAGGUAACAAGAAAAGCUGACUUUGAGAUUUUCAAAUCUUCUAGACUAAAAUAACUCCAUUGUGCAGGAGAAAUGUUUUAAUCAAAAUCAGAAGAGGAUUUUAAUCAAUUCCUGUCAUGGCUCAGUAGUUAAUGAACCUGACUAGUGUCCAUGAGGAGGGGGGUUCGAUCCCUGGCCUUGCUCAGUGAGUUAAGGAUCCGGCGUUGCCAUGAGCUGUGGCAUAGGCUGGCAGCUACAGCUCCGAUUCAACCCCUAGCCUGGGAAACUCCAUAUGCCUUGGGUGCAGCCCCCAAAAAA
rnacentral:lncRNA from 1 species